CCUACGGGUGGCAGCAGUGGGGAAUAUUGCACAAUGGGCGCAAGCCUGAUGCAGCCAUGCCGCGUGUGUGAAGAAGGCCUUCGGGUUGUAAAGCACUUUCAGCGGGGAGGAAGGCGGUGAGGUUAAUAACCUCAUCGAUUGACGUUACCCGCAGAAGAAGCACCGGCUAACUCCGUGCCAGCAGCCGCGGUAAUACGGAGGGUGCAAGCGUUAAUCGGAAUUACUGGGCGUAAAGCGCACGCAGGCGGUCUGUCAAGUCGGAUGUGAAAUCCCCGGGCUCAACCUGGGAACUGCAUUCGAAACUGGCAGGCUAGGGUCUUGUAGAGGGGGGUAGAAUUCCAGGUGUAGCGGUGAAAUGCGUAGAGAUCUGGAGGAAUACCGGUGGCGAAGGCGGCCCCCUGGACAAAGACUGACGCUCAGGUGCGAAAGCGCGGGGAGCAAACAGGAUUAGAUACCCUUGUAGUC
rnacentral:rRNA from 1 species